AUGUGAUUUUAUAAUAAUAUUGUUUAUAUUAUGGCCAGUAUUAGUUAUUAGAUAGUUUUAGUCAAUUGUGUUUAAGGAUGUCAACGUCGCGAGGAGAGUUUAUGGAUUUGGGUUGUUAAGAGAUCGCUGGAUGUUUGGAAGAUAUCCACAAAAUAUACUUAAUGGUUUUCAU